rnacentral:rRNA from 1 species
UACGGGGGGGGCAAGCGUUGUUCGGAAUUACUGGGCGUAAAGGGCUCGUAGGCGGCCAACUAAGUCCGACGUGAAAUCCCCAGGCUUAACCUGGGAACUGCGUCCGAUACUGGUUGGCUUGAAUCCGGGAGAGGGAUGCGGAAUUCCAGGUGUAGCGGUGAAAUGCGUAGAUAUCUGGAGGAACACCGGUGGCGAAGGCGGCAUCCUGGACCAUUACUGACACUGAAAAGCGAAAGCCAGGGGAGCAAACGGG